UAGUAUUUGGCUAAAGCCAUAGAGAAAACAGAUGAAAACAAGGCAGCAAAAGGAAUUAAAUGAGGAUGUUUCCCCAAACCAAGCUGAAGAUGCUCUGUCAUUCUAUUCAUUUGUAUGUUAAGAGGUAAAGUAUGUCAUUGCUUCUAAACUGAUGUCCUGCAGGACUUCUCAGCACUAAUGGCUCAAACAGACAUAGAGCAUAAAUAGAGAUGUGAAGUAAAGAUCACCCAGAGGAAUGCCAGAGAGCACACACAUGUCUCGAACAGCUUUGAGUGGUUCAUUUGGUACUCAGGAAAUGACUCUUCAAUUGAUGCUUGGAAAGUAUCAUUAGAAGAAAAUGGAAAGAAAAGAAAAAGAAAAUGGCUUUUGGAAACAUUUAUGUAGACACAACCCUCUGAAAGGUAAAGUAGAUGUUUUUGGGCAGUGACCUGUGACUAAUAUUACUUCCCCCCACUUUUCAUUUUCUAUGAGAAAGAUUAAAUCCCAUAGGAUGAGUAGGCAUGCAUGAGUUACAGUCUGAAUCACAAAUCUUAUUAUAUUUUCUCUCUUCCGCCAUCCCUAGUUCCAAC
rnacentral:lncRNA from 1 species